rnacentral:rRNA from 1 species
CCUACGGGGGGCUGCAGUGGGGAAUAUUGCACAAUGGGCGCAAGCCUGAUGCAGCCAUGCCGCGUGUAUGAAGAAGGCCUUCGGGUUGUAAAGUACUUUCAGUCGUGAGGAAGGUGUUAAGGUUAAUAACCUUAGCAAUUGACGUUAGCGACAGAAGAAGCACCGGCUACCUCCGUGCCAGCAGCCGCGGUCAUACGGCGGCUGCGAGCGCUAAUCGGACUUACUGGACGUACGGGGCACGCAGGCGGUUGAUUAAGUUGGAGGUGAAGUGCGCGGGCUUAACCUGGGAAUGGCAUUGAAGACUGGGUAGCUAGAGGCGUGUAGAGGGGGGUAGAAUUGGAGGUGGAGCGGUGAAAUGCGUAGAGAUGGGGAGGAAUACCGGUGGCGAAGGCGGCCCGCUGGACAAAGACGGACGCGCAUGUGCGAAAGCGUGGGGAGCAAGCAGGAGUAGAUACCCUAGUAGGG